rfam:Patagioenas fasciata monilis isolate BTP2013 Sc31e1R_92, whole genome shotgun sequence.
GUUGGCCGUUACCUCCAGCUGAUGAGCUCCAAAAAGAGUGAAACCAUUUAGGUCCUGUAAUACUGACCUAUAAGUGU